rnacentral:rRNA from 1 species
GUAGGUGGCAAGCGUUGUCCGGAAUUAUUGGGCGUAAAGCGCGCGCAGGGCGGUCCUUUAAGUCUGAUGUGAAAGCCCACGGCUCAACCGUGGAGGGUCAUUGGAAACUGGGGGACUUGAGUACAGAAGAGGAAAGCGGAAUUCCAAGUGUAGCGGUGAAAUGCGUAGAGAUUUGGAGGAACACCAGUGGCGAAGGCGGCUUUCUGGUCUGUAACUGACGCUGAGGCGCGAAAGCGUGGGGAGCAAACAGGAUUAGAUACCCUGGUAGUCCACGCCGUAAACGAUGAGUGCUAAGUGUUAGGGGGUUUCCGCCCCUUAGUGCUGCGGCUAACGCAUUAAGCACUCCGCCUGGGGAGUACGGCCGCAAAGGCUG